GCCCGAUACCCGAGGUCCCGCCCCAGUCCCCUGGCCAUUGGCUGGCUGCAUGUAGGGCCUCGGGGCACUGGGGCAAGUUCCUCCUGGCUUUGCCUGGCUCAGAGUCCGCUGUGCGGCGGCGGGUGCGAUCAUUUGGAUCUGGGGCGUGGUGCUUGGUGAGCACCAGCCUGACGGGAUACUGAGCCUGGAGGCAUCUUCUAGGGUGGUGACGCCAGACGUGUCAGUACAACUUCGCUCGCUGGACUGGGCUGAUCCUGCCUCCCUGGCGGCCAGCCCUUUCUGAGGGUGUCUUUUUAGGAACCAGGUCUUCUUAUUUCAGACUAAGAAAACUGGAGAGGCCAGUGGGGAUGACUCAGAAUGGAUGCUGGGACUGCAGGUGGGCACGGUGAUGCUGAGGCACCAGGAGCAGGGAACUAUCACCUACAGGAUGCCUGAGGACAGGGAUGUUUGGUGGAACAGGAAAUGAAGGACUUCACUGUUUCAUGGCAAGGAUGCCACCUUCAGUAUCCGGGGUAGAAUGGGUGCCUGGAGAAAUGUGAAAACCCCGUACACGGCUCUGGCAUUUCUGUGUGUAGAACAGUAAUGGUUUCAACAGAGGACAGCACUGCUGUGCUCCAGCGAGAGCUUCUUUCUCGGCCUUUGGGAACAGUCCCUCCAGGAAUCAUCCUGAAGGGCGGCAACAGGUGAAAGUGUCUUGAGGGCUUCCUGCUAGUUCGUGGACCACUACGACCCUGAUCUGAGCCCUGGGUGCUUCCCAGACAGUCCUCCCCCAGUGCACAGUGAUGCAACCAGCGCAAAUGGAAGGAAGUACUAAGCUGAGUCGUAUUGGAGCCUGAGGCAAAAGAAAAAAUCAAC
rnacentral:lncRNA from 1 species